rnacentral:misc_RNA from 1 species
CAACGCGACGCAACGCCGUGCGACACGGGGCACGACGCGACGCGACGCAACGUAAACUUGCCGCGAGGACGAAAGGAAGGAAGGAAGGAAGGAAGGAAGGAAGGAAGGAAGGGAAAAAAAAGGAAGGAACGCACGGGGGGUCUCUCCCGUCGUGCUCGCGCUGCGCUCUUUUCCCCGGCGAUUACAAUCGCGAUUUUUUUUUACGGCAGACUCGACGCGGCGCGUCGAGGUCGCGGCGCGGAGGAUGACUCUGUUCCCCGUCCUCGUCGCCACGGCGUGCGCGUUAUCUGUGUUUAUCUCCACCGUCCCCGGUGCUGCGCUUACCCCGUGAGGUGUGUGUGCGCGGAGAACACACGGCUCCUCCUGCGGUGAGGAUCUCGGCCAGGCCAGAUCGGCGGCGGAAGAGGGCCGGCGAGGGAGAGAGAGAAGAGGACAGACGACCGAGAGAUCGAGUGACGUAUAGCGGCGGGAGAGACGGACAGAGGAUAGAGAGCGGCGUGCGCGCCCCGCUCCGUUGGUAGUGGUGUGCGAGAGAGCGGUGCGUGCGAGCGAGCGAGCGACGACGUGUGCGCGGCCGCCGUCGCCGUCGCCACCGCCGUCAUUGCCGUCGUCGUCGUCGUCGUCAGUUUAGUUUAGUUUAGUACAGUGUGGUGCGGUGCGGUGCGCGGUAUACGACGGUAGCGUGUCGUGUCGACGACGGGCACGAGGCGCACGACGUCGCCAGCCAGCGACAGCGAGCCGUCACACGAGGCGGCUCCGAGGAACAGAAGGAGAGAGUGAGAGAGAGAGAGAGACGCACUCCAGGCCACCGCACCGCGACGAGAAUGGCGGGCAACAGCGGCGUCCCGGUCCUCCUCAUCACCGCGAACGUCGGCAGCAUCUUCGAAGAGCCUAGCGUCAUGCUGAAGAUAUGGACGGAAGAGUUUUUAUCCACCAUAUCGAGACUGGAUCCGAAAUUUAUAGCGCUGCACUGCCAAGAAGUAGGUGGAAAGAAUUACGAGCAGAGCAUGAGGCACGUGGAGGACUUUGUUAGAUUACUUAUGUCGUCGGAAGAGUUAAGGUUGUUCGACAAAAUUAGAGUAUUUCUCGAUGAGGAUUAUUCAUCCGCUGAACAUUUCACAGCUCUAGGAAAUUUCUACUUCGUGCACGAGUCAUUGAAGGAUGUUCUAUUGUGGGAUUUUAAUGGUACGUCGUAUGUAACUCUACUUUCGAUAGCUCUCGAUAAUCAUACGCAAUGGGUUUUUAAUUAUUAUGUGAUUUUAGAGUGCGUUUUUGUACCUGUAAGUGGAAAAGAAGUCCAUUCGGGCAAUAUAGAAGCAGUUAGUACCAAAGAGAAAGCUAAAUUCCCUCAAGAGUUCUUCCCCGAAUGCAAAUGGUCUAGGAAGGGUUUUCUGCGUACCCGAUGGAGUAUUAGUGGAACAGUUUUUGAUCUCAUAAACAUACACUUAUUUCAUGACGCGAGCAAUUUUAUCGCUAUGGAGAACUUUCCAUCGGUAUACAGUAAAACGCGCAGAAGAGCGCUCGAGCACACAUUAGAUAGAUUUCAUAAUGACAAAUAUCAAAACGUGCCGUAUUUUUUAUUUGGUGACUUUAAUUUUAGGACGGACACGGCAAGUGUGAUAAAGAAAUUGACAGAAGAUACUCAAGAAAAGAGGUUAUCAAAUAAGGGAAAUAUUUCGAAAUUGCAAUUUCACAAUAGAGACGAUGAUCUCGUACUAACGUUAGGCAAAAAGGAAUUUUCUCACUACGAACAUCAGAACGUUUUCAUGAAAAAUGGCGCUGAAUGGUUACGCGAGUAUGACAAAGAGCUGGGAGACUUUGAGGGAAGGUUGUUUGAAUUUCCAAUUAACUUUGUGCCAAGUUAUCCGUUUCAAGAAGAUAUUAACGAGCCUGUAAAUUACAUGCAAACAAGAGUGCCAGCUUGGUGCGAUCGAGUUUUAUUGAGCCCUACUGCAAAAACGCUAGUCCAAGAUAUUGACAAUUCCGAGGCAAUGGAAUACGGUAUAAUUGGCCCGAAUACGUGCAUGGGUGAUCACAAGCCUGUUUUUCUGGAGUUUCGAAUGAAUUUCUAAGCACUAAGGUACCUAUCUAUGAACUGUCUGUCUGUUCUUAUCUGAAAUCUCCCACAUCUCUUUACGUCUCUUCAUUCUCCAGUCUACUUGAAGGCUAAUCUCAUCUCGGACGCAGAAACGGCGAGGGAAAUGCAGACGGAGGCGAAGUCCGGGCUGAGAAGCGGCGAGCUGCUCAACGGAGUCAACAACAAUAAUAACAACAACAACGCCGUCAGGA